rnacentral:piRNA from 1 species
UCUGUGCCUUGGUGAAAGGACAAUGAUGC